rnacentral:rRNA from 1 species
AUACGAAGGGGGCUAGCGUUGUUCGGAAUCACUGGGCGUAAAGCGCGCGUAGGUGGACUAAUCAGUUGAGGGUGAAAUCCCGGGGCUCAACCUCGGAACUGCCUUCAAUACUGUUAGUCUUGAGUCCGAGAGAGGUGAGUGGAAUUCCUAGUGUAGAGGUGAAAUUCGUAGAUAUUAGGAAGAACACCAGUGGCGAAGGCGGCUCACUGGCUCGGUACUGACGCUGAGGUGCGAAAGCGUGGGGAGCAAACAGGAUUAGAUACCCUAGUAGUCC